CGUUUUUUUCAUCCCACCAUCUCGGAAAGAGUAGUUUUACCCUUUGAUAUCUGAGCGCAAAAGCCGUUUUUAUCCUCUAGAGCGGCAAAGUGAUUUGAAUUUAGAACAUCAUGUGUAAUACUCCAUUUGUGACAAUCUUGGUAAGACUUUUCAAACAAAUACAUAUUAAACAAAUAAAAUACUGCUUAAAAUAAUUAUUCAAUAAAUUAAGUAAUUUUUAUUAUUGUUUUUACAUAGAUUUUUAACCUCGUUUCAUUUUUAAACUGAGUUUUCAAAUAAAUGAACUUUAAUAGGUACAUCUUUUUAAUUUGACACUCAUAUGUGCGCGCCAUUUUGUUUUAGUAAUUUCCUCGAUGAGGUGGGAUGAAAAUUACGUGUUGCACUCGAGUGCAAAGAUUUUUCACCUUGUGCUCUUUUGAUUCCCUCGCUAUCGCUCAGGAUUCUAAUUAUUGAAACACUCGCUACGCUCGUGUUUCAAUUUUAGAAUCCUUCGC
rnacentral:lncRNA from 1 species